UACGAAGGGAGCUAGCGUUGUUCGGAAUAACUGGGCGUAAAGGGCGUGUAGGUGGGUAUAUGCGUUAGAUGUGAAAGCCCCGGGCUCAACCUGGGAAUGGCAUUUAAUACGGUAUAUCUAGAGUGCGAGAGGGGAAAGCGGAAUGGCGAGUGGAGCAGUGAAAUGCAUUGAGAUUCGCUAGAACACCAGAGGCGAAGGCGCUUCUGGCUCGUAACUGACACUAAGACGCGAAAGCGUGGGGAGCAAACAGG
rnacentral:rRNA from 1 species